rnacentral:rRNA from 1 species
UACGGAGGGGGCUAGCGUUGUUCGGAAUUACUGGGCGUAAAGCGCACGUAGGCGGCUUUGUAAGUUAGAGGUGAAAGCCCGGGGCUCAACUCCGGAACUGCCUUUAAGACUGCAUCGCUUGAAUCAUGGAGAGGUCAGUGGAAUUCCGAGUGUAGAGGUGAAAUUCGUAGAUAUUCGGAAGAACACCAGUGGCGAAGGCGACUUUCUGGUCUGUAACUGACGCUGAGGCGCGAAAGCGUGGGGAGCAAACAGG